rnacentral:tRNA from 1 species
GCCAGCUUAGCUCAGUCGGUAGAGCGCACGCCUUUUAAGCGUGUGGCCGCGGGUUCGAGCCCCGCAGCUGGUA